UCAAAAACGGCUAUAAUAGUAAAAAAUAUUCCUUAAUGUUUAAAAACGUGGUUAUGCCCCUUUAAACAGCUGUUCGGUAGUGUGAUUUGAAGCGACUGGUCGCAUAAAAUUUCUUUGUCCACCACUGUACGAACAAGAGGCAUUGUACAAAGAAUGGCUAACGACUGAAUAACGGAUCUAUUAUAUGACAAAAUACAACAAAAAACAAACCGAAUCGCUGGAGAACGAGACGUUUGUAUGGCAUUGCCGAAAACCAACCUAUCCAUUCUCGGUUCACAUAUCCACUGAGCCCCGUACGAAUUUUUCUACCUACGGUGGAUUUCUAAGAUUCCAGGAAAUCGGGGGUAUCGCAGGGGUCUGCGGCAUCCGUAUGUGGCAGUCACAUAUUCGGCGGUGCUCUUUGAAGUUUUCUCGACUCCAGUCGCGAGACGUCCCUGUGUAAGCUGCAAGGACCAAGUGUUGAAAUACCUCAACAUAUGAUAACUAUGGUUUAAACAACUCUCAGAUCAGGUUGCCAGGGUCUGGAUUGAAAAUUAACGUUGCGGAAAGACACGGGCUUAGGAUGUGAUAUCACUUGCCGGAUUCGUUUCGAGUUGUGAUGUGUCAUAGCCAGCUUUGUUUUGUAGAUCCAAAUAGCCACGAUCACGGGACACACACACCUUCCGACCUGCGUCAUAUUGAAUUCUUAGUGGAACAAAAAUAACAGUUAAAACUUGAUACACAACUAUCCACAAGCACCAAACGCCUAGAGUUUGAGGAUUUAAAAAAACAUGGAACAUGGAAUAGGUGUUCUGCAAGAUAAAGAAAACAGCGCAGUAAUACUGGCAGGAAUGAAAAUCUAAAGAUGACGGAGAAAGACGAGGUUUGAGUAACCAAUUUUCAAUUAAAUGGAUACCAAGACUUACACCAGUUGCAGUACCGUCCAUUUCAUCGAAGACUCUUAUAGAUAAAAAAAUCGGCAAACCGCUACUCUCGUCAACUCCAAGAUCUGUGUUGAAAAAGCGAAAGCGCAAACGAGUAAGUUGAUAUUUUAUUAUACUUUUCAUAAUUUGUUUAAAUUUUUUAUUAACUAAUUAGAUUUUUGUAUUUCAUUGCUCAAAAGGUAAGGACUUUCCUUUGGCACUGUCACUAACCCAAACCCUAAC